rnacentral:lncRNA from 1 species
AUAAGUUUCAUACCUUGGCUACAAUCACCAUCAGAACGAGUGAUCGAGUUUUCAAUGUUAAGGCUAUUUGGGGAAGACCCAUCUUCAUUUGAUUCCAUAUCAUGUUCUUGAGGAUUACUCUCAUAUGUGUCCCUUUGCGAGAUAUUUGAAUUAAUUUCAGGUUCUUGUUGCUUUAGCCUUUUCGAACUCCUCAAACUCUUCGAACUCUUCGGACUCUUCGAACUCUUAGAACUCUUACCUUUCUUUGACAUCUUCGAACUCUUCGAACUCUUGCUUUUCUCAAACUCUUCUAUACCGUAAUAUACUAUAGGAUUGGUGUAUAGUAAGAUCACUAAGCAAUAGAGCAUUUAUUUACUUGACAAGUAUAUUAGAUAGUUAUUUACCUUCGGCGCCUAUCGGAAGCGAUUGCUGUGCAGAGAAAAGAAGAAAGGAA